GUUGCCUGGAGCUUUAAAAGCUAAAUAAAGGAAUUUCUAUUCUGUUCUAGAGGGAAUAGGAAGCCACAGGAAUUUCUUGAAUAAGAGAAUGAAAAUGGUCCUAUCUACAUGUAAGGAAAAUACCAAAAAUUGGUAUCUGUAUGGAGGCUAUGGAGGCUCCCGGAGCCAGAGAGGGUGUUUACAACCCAUCAAGGAAUGGCACCGACUCCCUGAAGCCUUCCUGGGUUGAUCCGAAGAAAACUGAUCAUCUCUUCUUAACUCAUGCCGUCUAGAUCUGGAAUUCUCCUCCCCGCCCGUGCCCAGCCACUCUCUCACAUCUCAGUCCUUCGCUCUCCUCACUUCGUUCUCUGUUGUCCAAAUGCACCAACCCCUAAGCUCUCCAGAAUGGAGUCACUCCACAGAUCAAUCAAGACUGGGGAACAGAAAGAGAGGUGCCACCGGAAAGCCAGAACCAGGCACUGGAUUCCCAGUGCUCUUUAAUAAACAUCCACCGGGAAAGAGCAUCUGCACCCAGACAGAGAACUGUGGGGACUGAGUGGGGAUCACAACAUUGUAUUUUCACUUAUUUUGUUGUUGUUGUUUGCCUGCAUUUUGUUUUCUUUCUCAUUUUUUCUCCUUUUGAUCUGAUUUUUCUCAUGCAGUGUGAUAAUUGUGGAAAUCUGUAUUGAAGAAUUGCACAUGUUUAACCUAUGUUGGAGUACUUGCCAUCUAGGGGAGGGGUGAGGGAAAGUGAGGGGAAAAAACUUGGAACACAGGGCUUUGCAAGAAUCAAUGUUGAAAACUAUGCAUGUGUUUUGAAAAUAAAAAACUUUAGGGGAAGCUAGAUGGUGCAGUGGAUAGAUUGCUGGCCCUGACAGGAGGACCUGAGUUCAAAUGUGACCUCAGACAUUUAACACUUCCUGGCUAGGUGACCCUGGGCAAGUCACUUAACCCCAAUUGUCUCAGCAAAAUAAAUAAAUAAAAAUAAAAAGCUUUAGAAAAAUAAAAUAAA